GCAGCCCAUAUGGGAUUGAUUGUGUUUACCCAUGUUCUACCCAUAUGGUUUGACCAAGAGGGCCCCAUAUGUGUUUCCCCAUUCAGAACCCAUAUAGAGGUAGCCUUUUUGGGUACUACCUUGGGCCCAUGCAGGCAGCCUAUAUGGGACUGAUUGUGUCUGCCCAUUUUUUACCCAUAUGGUUUGACCAAGAGGGCCCCAUAUGUGUUUCCCCAUUCAGAACCCAUACAGAGGUAGCCUUUGUGGGUACUACCUUGGGCCCAUGUAGGCAGCCUAUAUGGGACUGAUUGUGUCUGCCCAUUUUUUACCCAUAUGGUUUGACCAAGAGGGCC